CAAAGGUGAGAGAGGUUUGGAGACUUGCCCCGUAAGGGUUACCCAGCCAGUAACAGUCCAAGGUAGGAUUUGAACUCAGAUCUUCCUGACAACAAGUUAAGAAGUCUCUUCAGUGCCUCUUUGCUGUGUCCUCUGCUCUGGAAGGUUGCAGAAUGCACUGAUGGAAGGAUGGUUCUAUAUUCUGUUUGCAAUUCACUAUAGAAACCUAAUAAAUGUUCAUUCUAAUCCCACUGUGAGAAGUUAUAGGCACAUAUCAAGAGGAAAGCCCAGUGGAUUCUGACUUUAACUAUUAAAGAUUUAAAAUAGCAUUCUGAGAAAAGAAUCUUGGCCUUAAUAAGACUGACAAAGGAUUUUAGAACACAUGAAAGGUGAAGAACCCUUGGUCAAGAUUUUUCUGGAUUUCAAAAGAUACCUUGUGAUCAACUUCUGAAUGUCUUCCCAAUUUUGUGACCACCACCAUAGAUCUCCUCUACAACACCUCAUAAAAUAGAGAAAAGCAAUGGAAGGGAGAAUGAUCCUUAAGGGAGCUAAUUAGGGGGGAAAGAGGUGUUUUCCUGAAUCCUGAAUGAGUUGGCAUUCUGUCAUGUGGAAGCCACCUCUCCCAGGUGUUCCUUAACUAACAUACACCCACGCACUCUCCUGGUAUGAACAAGGUAGAGAAGGAAACUAAAUGAGUGCACCUUGUGGAAGUAUGGGAAAUAGACUUCAAUCCUCAACUUGUAAAGCUCUGAAGACCGAAGAGCAGAAAUGAUGGCUUCCUGGACAACAGGUCAACAUCAAGUGCAGCAUUCUUGCAGAUCCCAGACUGCCUCAAGAAAGACAAACAGGACCACCCCAAUUUCUUGAUUCAUCCCCCCAGAAGACUAUACACUGGCCUAUCAGGAGGUUUUGCCAUGAGUGGAAUGCCCCAGUAUGAAAGCCUUGCCAGAUGUUAAUGGCCAUUACCACCUAGUCUAAGGAAGAUCACACAAGCUGAGGUGAUGCCCAUUUCAGAUGCAUGGAUUUUAUUUACUUUAUUAUUUAGAAUACAAUGUAGGGCUCAAAAGUAGACAUUUGAACAGGACAAAGAGAAUCAUUAUUCCAUGCUUUGUGCCUAGAUAAGGGUAAUAGGUAAGAACUUGUAAGUGGAGGUUUUCUUUUCCUUUCUCUGCUUUUGGGCUAAGAGAGAGGAUACAUAUGCAUGGUUCCAGGUUUUCUGGAAAAGGUCCCUAGAGGAAGAAAAAAACUCUAGGAAGAAGCCAAGGAGUGAGAGCCUUGAGUAUGUCCCUAAUUCUAACUUGCCACACUAGAGACUUCAGGGAAUUUCUAUUUCGAUAAGAUCAGAGACUAUUUCAAUUGAUUUAAGAUAAUUUCUUCCCACUGGGAGAGCCCAUUCACUCUGGUUUUUUUUUUUUCUAGUGUAUGCUAAUCUGUAUAAUUUCUCUAUUUCUGUUUGCAAUAGCCUUGGAUAAAUGGAGUUUAUUGGCUAUGGACUGUGGGAUGAUCUUUGUGUAACUGGCAUUUGGUGGGAUGGGAAGCAAGCCUUUUGACAUAGCGUAGGGCACUCCUCUCAUAAUGUAGUGGCUUGAAGGAGAGUGAUUUGAACCCAAGAAUUAUUUUCUGUAGACAAGCAAUAUUUAGAGAGGCAUAUAGAUUUUAGUUUGGUAUCUCUUCUCUGAGCACAGCAGAGCUGGCCAGCCUCAUGGCCCUCUUUCCUGCUCCCCCUAGGCAGGGCUCAAUAUCUCCCUAGGAGAGGGAUGAAGGAAACUCCAGGUAUAUAUAUAUAUAUAUAUAUAUAUAUAUAUAUAUAUAUAUAUAUAUAUAUAUAUAUUCAUGGCUCUCUGCAAGCUGCAUUUAGAAAGAUCCACGUGGACACGCACACAACCCACAUGGGCAACAAAUACAUUUUACAUUAACAUUCUGAUUCAAGUCUUAUACCAUAUGUCCUUGACUUCAAGUCAAAUCAAUGAAAUUUAUAGGCAGUGAUAAAAUUAAGGAAAGGAGGGGGAGAUUUCCUAGUAGAAUUGAGUCUGAGUCAUGAUCUGACUGGUCAAUCCACAUGCGUAAACCCAAGACCAAGGAGACAAAUAUUAUUAGUACCUACAAAGGAGUGGAAAAUAGAAGGAAAGGGGGAAAGAGGCAGCCAGCUUCGGAGAGCUGAUUUCCUAUGAGAGUGCCUGUUGUUGGGCAGUACUUAUGACAGAUGGGGGAAUAAACAUUUGGUUGACAGAACCUGAUCCUUACAAAGCAAUAGGUUUGGCACUGAUUAUAAUGUUUCCUAUUUGUUAUCCUUAGAAUUCAAUUAAACAAAUAUUCAUUAACUACCAUAUGCUAGGGGAUUAAAGACAAAAAUAAAAUAGACCGUGCCAUCAAAGAAUUUAUAUUCCACUGUUAUUUUUUAAAGCAUGUUUCCACAUCAUAGAAAAACAUAGAUGGGAUCUUCAAUCUCAAAGAGAUUGCAAAAAUCAUUGAGUGGGGGGAGGAGGGGUAAGAUCUUCUGCAGUCUAGAACCCAAAAAAUGUCAACUAAAUUUUAGCAAAUUUUUUAUAUAAUCUACUCUUUCUACAGGAAAUAAUGAUGAUAAUAUACAAAUUGCCCAAGUAUUUCUCCUUAUUAUAAAACCAGUCCAGCAGCUUUGUUUAAUAAAAGGUUAAAAUUAUGAGUCAAGAUUUUGAGCUGCAUUGUCCAGAUUUGGACUUCCCAGAUUAAUACCCUCAUGCUUGCAUUUCAUGUCUGUUCCUUUGUCAUACAACUGGCCUCUGCAGCUGUUGAUAGUUAAUCCAUGAUUCUCUAAAAUAGAUGCUAAUAAAUUGGGUAGAGCCUCUCCCACUGUGUCCACCUCAGGAAAGCACAAUUAUAUUUCUUUG